rnacentral:snRNA from 1 species
CUUCCUUCUCCAGCUCUACUUGCCUCAUUAGCUUAGAUCAAGUGUAGUAUCUGUUCUUUUCAGUUUAAUCUCUGAUAUAGUGUUCCAAGGGAGCAUAAUCGUGAUUACCCUCAAUUUUGCAAACCGGGUAGGCGGUCCUCUGAGCUCGCUCAUGGCCGAUCUCCACUGUGUCCUCGGUACCACACUGCCUCCGAGUGACGCGAACCACCC